rnacentral:lncRNA from 1 species
CAAUAUUCACAUGCAAGUUGAAUACAAUCUUAAUACAAAAUGCAGCUAUGGCUCCAGGGUUUAAAUGCUAUUUAUUUUGUUUACAGAACUACUCCUUCAGCAAAGGAAUAAAAGGAUUUCGAUGGUGUCUAUGAACAGUCAGGAGUCAACAGAAGACGACAGAAAUAAUGACAAAUACAAUUCACUUCGCGGCGUGCCAGGUGAAGUUCGACGAUCAUCAGGUGAUAGAAAAGUCCGAAGAACUACUUGGUACUGUGAAUGAAAAUUCCUAUACUUUAUUGAAACUUGGGUUCUGUUCCGUUUAGCGCUGACGUCCUUUCAAAGGGAAAAGUAUUUAUGAACUUCGUUUAUUGUUUAAGAAGUAUGACGUAAGUAGAUGGAACAAUAAGUACUUAUGUCACGAGUGGUAUGGGGCACAUAAAACGAUAAAAUCUGUGCGGAAUAUAGGGCCGUGAAAAAGGAAACCGACACUUUUAUAUAACUUUUCUUAUUGACACACAUACUUUACAAUUUUUCAUCAUCUCAAUUAGCUUAUUUAUUACCUAUCACAGGCGGGUUGGUAGAGUUCAGAGGUGAUUUAGUAGCAGUAGCUUCUAUUUACUUGUAUUUACUUACUGUAGAUUGUGAAUUUCUCAGUCAAAUGGUGGGCCUAAAUCUUCUAUGAAGUUAAAAAAAAACUUAAUAGAAGUAAUCUAACAAAUGUAUGUUCAGAAAAUUUUGACUGUAAGGCCCACUUGCACCAACCACUUAACUCGGGGUUAGUGGGCUGUCAUCUGUCAAAUUCCAUAUAAAAUGGUGGGUUAACCCUCGGGUUAACCGUCCAUUUUCGUUGGUGCAAGUGGCCCUAAAUGUAAUUAAUUAUCAUCGGUUAACCCGAGGUUAACCCACCAUUUUAUACGGAAUUUGACAGUUGACAGCCCACUAACCUUGAGUUAAGCGGGUGGUGCAAGUGGCCCUGAUCAAAGUAGACUGUGUUGGCGAAAAGCUAAAAAGCUAUAAAAUGUUUCUUUGAUUACACGAUGGUAGUUAAUUGUGAGUUCAAAAAUAACAAUCAAAGAAACUUGAACAGUGCGAGUGUGACUCGCCUACCCAGGGUUCCGUAUAAACUAAAGUUAUUUUUUAUUAGGUACGGAAUCCUAAAACUAUUUUUUAACUGAAUUAUUUUAGAAUUCAUACUGUUAAACUAAGUCGUAUUAAUAUUAGAUACAAUUUGCAGACUAGAAUACACAUAAGACAAGUAAAUAUAAUGACCCCAUGGAGUCUCGUGCAGUUUUAUUGGCAUUUCAACAUGAAUGGAUGUUUGCAGUCUUUAGCAAAUUAUUUUGUAUUAUUUAGAAGGUUCUAUUUAACAGUAGCUAAUCAACUUUUGAAUUAAUUCCAUGUAUCAAAAAAGUGACUUAAGUAAGUUUCGUAAUUUGUAAUAAAAUGUAACCAAAGUGUGGUAGCAAACAUUUAAUGAUAUUUCCACAAAAUGUGAUAAUUGUUUUUGCAUUAAUAUUAUUAUACUUUAUGUUUUAGUUACAGUCAUUAUUAUUAUACAUUAUUAGAACAUAUAUUGUUAUACAAUGUUGUUUAAUGAAAGCUAAUUGUAAGAUAUUUUAUUGAUGUAAAACAGACGAUAGCUCACUGCUAUAACUAUGUAAAAUAAUUUCGAAAUCAUUUAAUAAAACAUAUAGUAACUA